GUUAUUAUUCAUUACAGGUCUAACCUUAGAUCAUAUAGUUGUGAUCUGUUGUGUUGCUGUUGGAUGUCUGAUGAUUGUCGCUUUAGUUCUGAUCUUCUGCAUCUGCAAGAAACACAGAAACACACAGCAACAGGUUCAGACCGGUGAAGAGGAAAUCACUUACAAAGAAACAACUUUCCAAAAAAGACAAACACAUAAACAAAGAACUCCAGAAGACGUUGAAGUGGUGUACUUAGAAGUCACGUUAAAUCCUGAAAAACUCAACUGUAAUAUAUCAUUUUAAAAUACAUUGGGCCUCAUUUAUCAAUCUAACACACACACACACACACAUAUAUAAAAAUCACACACACGCACACCCAUACAAUCACAUUUGCAAGUUGUUAAAGUAAACGAAAACACUAUUUUAGGUUUUUCUCAUUAUUCCUUUUCAAACAGCAAACGGCUAAACAUACAUUCUUCACGCUAACUCAAAACUUGCAUAAAUAAUGUGAAACAUGACGUGAGAUUUGAAUGUAGCCACCACUCAAAUCCAUAUUGAUGAAUUUCAAGUCUUAACGAGCCAAGAAACGACCAUACGCACAGUUUUCUGUCGUACGCUCGUGUCAUAAAUGAGGCCCAAAGUAUGUUAAAUGUUUUAUGUUUGUUACUGAAUGCUUCAUUUCUUUGUUGACGUUAAACAUGGUGUGAAAAGAAAUGUGGUUAUGUUCUGUUGUUGCAAAUGAGAUAUGUGUUUGACUAUUGGCUGUUUGUGGUGUGUAAACGGGGAGCUACGUGUAUAUGUAAGAGGUGUUAACAGCAUGUGCAUGUUUGUGUGAGUAUUGUGUCUUUCUUUUGCUGUCUUGCACGCUACACAAAACAGCUUUACAAUUAAUUAUUGAAUUCAUCAAUGUAACAGUUAGCAAAUAUAAUAUGUUUUUAAUCAAACAGUGUUAUUACUGUGAAAUCUUACUCUGUGAAUGUAAAAUAAUGAGAUUUAUGACUCUUGCUAUCAUUAUUAUUAUUUAUAUCAUGCUGUUCCUGUAGCUCAGUUGGUAAAGCAUUGCAUUAACAAUAGUAACCAAAAGUUCAUGCUUCCCAGAAAACAUACUGUACAUACUGACACAAUGCACAUCUUAAAAGUCACUUGCUAAAUGCAUGAAUAUAAAUGUAUUUCUCAUGCAAACAA